rnacentral:rRNA from 1 species
CACGUAGUUGGCCGGUGCUUCUUCUCCAGGUACCGUCACUCACGCUUCGUCCCUGGUGAAAGAGGUUUACAACCCGAAGGCCGUCAUCCCUCACGCGGCGUCGCUGCAUCAGGCUUGCGCCCAUUGUGCAAUAUUCCCCACUGCUGCCUCCCGUAGGAGUCUGGGCCGUGUCUCAGUCCCAGUGUGGCCGAUCACCCUCUCAGGUCGGCUACCCGUCGUCGCCUUGGUAGGCCCAUUACCCCACCAACAAGCUGAUAGGCCGCGGGCCCAUCCCACACCGCAAAAGCUUUCCACCAACCACCAUGCGACAGUUGGUCAUAUCCGGUAUUAGACCCAGUUUCCCAGGCUUAUCCCAGAGUGCAGGGCAGAUCACCCACGUGUUACUCACCCGUUCGCCACUCGAGUACCCAGCAAGCUGGGCCUUUCCGUUCGACUUGCAUGUGUUAAGCACGCCGCCAGCGUUCGUCCUGAGCCAGGAUCAAACUCCUCGACGACGACGUCGACGAACG